rnacentral:rRNA from 1 species
AUUGAACGCUGGCGGCAGGCCUAACACAUGCAAGUCGAACGAGUGGCGGACGGGUGAGUAAUGUCUGGGAAACUGCCUGAUGGAGGGGGAUCACUACUGGAAACGGUAGCUAAUACCGCAUACCAUCAGAUGUGCCCAGAUGGGAUUAGCUUGUUGGUGGGGUAACGGCUCACCAGGGCGACGAUCCCUCGCGGGUCUGAGAGGCUGACCAGCCACACGGGAACGGAGACACGGUCCAGACUCCUACGGGAGUCAGCGGUGGGGAAUAUGGCAAAAUGGGCGAAAGCCGGAUGCAGCAAGGCCGCGUGUAUGAGGAAGGCCUUCGGGUGGUAAAGUACUUUCAGCGGGGAGGCGGUACCCGAAGAAGAAGCACCGGCUAACUCCGUGCCAGCAGCCGCGGUAAUAC